GUACACUCCUACGGGAGGCAGCAGUGGGGAAUUUUGGACAAUGGGCGAAAGCCUGAUCCAGCAAUGCCGCGUGAGUGAAGAAGGCCUUCGGGUUGUAAAGCUCUUUUGUCAGGGAAGAAACGGUGAAAGCUAAUAUCUUUUGCUAAUGACGGUACCUGAAGAAUAAGCACCGGCUAACUACGUGCCAGCAGCCGCGGUAAUACGUAGGGUGCAAGCGUUAAUCGGAAUUACUGGGCGUAAAGCGUGCGCAGGCGGUUUUGUAAGUCUGAUGUGAAAUCCCCGGGCUCAACCUGGGAAUUGCAUUGGAGACUGCAAGGCUAGAAUCUGGCAGAGGGGGGUAGAAUUCCACGUGUAGCAGUGAAAUGCGUAGAUAUGUGGAGGAACACCGAUGGCGAAGGCAGCCCCCUGGGUCAAGAUUGACGCUCAUGCACGAAAGCGUGGGGAGCAAACAGGAUUAGAAACCCUGGUAGUCCCAUGA
rnacentral:rRNA from 1 species